ensembl:snoRNA SNORA70 Small nucleolar RNA SNORA70
CAGCAGUAAUUAAGCUGAUUUGGUUCCUUUUCUACUGGGGACGCCACAUGCAUUGGCUGUCAUUAACAACCUCCCUGGUCAUUUAUGCUGCCUGUUUUAUUUGGUAUACCUUAAGGCACCAUAGACACUUAA